UUCUGGUUGAUCCUGCCAGACCUGACUGCUAUCGGAUUGAUACUAAGCCAUGCGAGUCAUUGUAGCAAUACAAGGCAUACGGCUCAGUAACGCGUAGUCAACCUAACCUAUGGACGGGAAUAACCUCGGGAAACUGAGAAUAAUGCCCGAUAGAACAUUAUACCUGGAAUGGUUUAUGUUCCAAAUGAUUUAUCGCCGUAGGAUGGGACUGCGGCCUAUCAGUUUGUUGGUGAGGUAAUGGCCCACCAAGACUACUACAGGUACGGGCUCUGAGAGGAGUAGCCCGGAGAUGGGUACUGAGACACGGACCCAGGCCCUAUGGGGCGCAGCAGGCGAGAAAACUUUGCAAUGUGCGAAAGCACGACAAGGUUAAUCCGAGUGAUUUCUGCUAAAGAAAUCUUUUGUUAGUCCUAGAAACACUAACGAAUAAGGGGUGGGCAAGUUCUGGUGUCAGCCGCCGCGGUAAAACCAGCACCUCAAGUGGUCAGGAUGAUUAUUGGGCCUAAAGCAUCCGUAGCCGGCUCUGUAAGUUUUCGGUUAAAUCUGUACGCUUAACGUACAGGCCGCCGGGAAUACUGCAGAGCUAGGGAGUGGGAGAAGUAGACGGUACUCGGUAGGAAGUGGUAAAAUGCUUUGAUCUAUCGAUGACCACCUGUGGCGAAGGCGGUCUACUAGAACACGUCCGACGGUGAGGGAUGAAAGCUGGGGGAGCAAACCGGAUUAGAUACCCGGGUAGUCCCAGCUGUAAACUAUGCAAACUCAGUGAUGCAUUGGCUUGUGGCCAAUGCAGUGCUGCAGGGAAGCCGUUAAGUUUGCCGCCUGGGAAGUACGUACGCAAGUAUGAAACUUAAAGGAAUUGGCGGGGGAGCACCACAAGGGGUGAAGCCUGCGGUUCAAUU
rnacentral:rRNA from 1 species